rnacentral:rRNA from 1 species
CUCCGGAUGUUAGCGGCGGACGGGUGAGUAACACGUGGGUAACCUGCCUGUAAGACUGGGAUAACUCCGGGAAACCGGAGCUAAUACCGGAUAGUUCCUUGAACCGCAUGGUUCAAGGAUGAAAGACGGUUUCGGCUGUCACUUACAGAUGGACCCGCGGCGCAUUAGCUAGUUGGUGGGGUAAUGGCUCACCAAGGCGACGAUGCGUAGCCGACCUGAGAGGGUGAUCGGCCACACUGGGACUGAGACACGGCCCAGACUCCUACGGGAGGCAGCAGUAGGGAAUCUUCCGCAAUGGACGAAAGUCUGACGGAGCAACGCCGCGUGAGUGAUGAAGGUUUUCGGAUCGUAAAGCUCUGUUGUUAGGGAAGAACAAGUGCGAGAGUAACUGCUCGCACCUUGACGGUACCUAACCAGAAAGCCACGGCUAACUACGUGCC